GGGGGGGGGGGGGGGGGGGGGGGGGGGGGGGGGGGGGAGGGGGGAGGCCCUGCGGUGGUGGGGUGCGCGAGUGGCGAACGGGUGAGUAACACGUGAGUAACCUGCCCUUGACUUUGGGAUAACUUCAGGAAACUGGGGCUAAUCCCGGAUAGGAGCUCCUGCUGCAUGGUGGGGGUUGGAAAGUUUCGGCGGUUGGGGAUGGACUCGCGGCUUAUCAGCUUGUUGGUGGGGUAGUGGCUUACCAAGGCUUUGACGGGUAGCCGGCCUGAGAGGGUGACCGGGCACAUUGGGACUGAGAUACGGCCCAGACUCCUACGGGAGGCAGCAGUGGGGAAUAUUGCACAAUGGGCGGAAGCCUGAUGCAGCAACGCCGCGUGCGGGAUGACGGCCUUCGGGUUGGAAACCGCUUUCGCCUGUGACGAAGCGUGAGUGACGGUAAUGGGUAAAGAAGCACCGGCUAACUACGUG
rnacentral:rRNA from 1 species